CACGUAGGGUGCGAGCGUUGUCCGGAAUUAUUGGGCGUAAAGAGCUCGUAGGUGGUGUGUCGCGUCUGCUGUGAAAACCCGAGGCUCAACCUCGGGCCUGCAGUGGGUACGGGCAGACUAGAGUGCGGUAGGGGAGAUUGGAAUUCCUGGUGUAGCGGUGGAAUGCGCAGAUAUCAGGAGGAACACCAAUGGCGAAGGCAGAUCUCUGGGCCGUAACUGACGCUGAGGAGCGAAAGCAUGGGGAGCGAACAGG
rnacentral:rRNA from 1 species